GUCAUGUCCAACUGUCUUUGCAGCCCCGUAGACUAUAUCCCGCCAGGCUCUUAUGUCCAUGGGAUUUUCCAGGCAAGAAUGCUGGAGUGGGGUGCCAUUUCCUCCUCCAGGGAAUCUUCCUGACCCAGGGAUCGAACCCCCAUCUCAUGUGUCUCCUACAUUGCAGGAAGGUUCUUUCCCCUAGCGCCACCUGA